UUAGAAAAAGUUGUCCACACUCAACUCAAGCUGUUUUUAGGUGAACAUGAUGUCCUGGAGGUGUUCCAGUCUGAGUCAGCUUGGAUAAUG